rnacentral:rRNA from 1 species
GUAGGUGGUUUGUCGCGUUGUUCGUGAAAACUCACAGCUUAACUGUGGGCGUGCGGGCGAUACGGGCAGACUAGAGUACUGCAGGGGAGACUGGAAUUCCUGGUGUAGCGGUGGAAUGCGCAGAUAUCAGGAGGAACACCGGUGGCGAAGGCGGGUCUCUGGGCAGUAACUGACGCUGAGGAGCGAAAGCGUGGGGAGCGAACAGGAUUAGAUACCCUGGUAGUCCACGCCGUAAACGGUGGGUACUAGGUGUGGGUUCCUUCCUUGGGAUCCGUGCCGUAGCUAACGCAUUAAGUACCCCGCCUGGGGAGUACGGCCGCAAGGCUAAAACUCAAAGGAAUUGACGGGGGCCCGCACAAGCGGCGGAGCAUGUGGAUUAAUUCGAUGCAACGCGAAGAACCUUACCUGGGUUUGACAUGCACAGGACGCCGGCAGAGAUGUCGGUUCCCUUGUGGCCUGUGUGCAGGUGGUGCAUGGCUGUCGUCAACUCGUGUCGUGAGAUGUUGGGUUAAGUCCCGCAACGAGCGCAACCCUUGUCCUAUGUUGCCAGCGGGUUAUGCCGGGGACUCGUAGGAGACUGCCGGGGUCAACUCGGAGGAAGGUGGGGAUGACGUCAAGUCAUCACGCCCCUUAUGUCCAGGGCUUCACACAUGCUACAAUGGCCGGUACAAAGGGCUGCGAUGCCGUGAGGUGGAGCGAAUCCUUUCAAAGCCGGUCUCAGUUCGGAUCGGGGUCUGCAACUCGACCCCGUGAAGUCGGAGUCGCUAGUA